rnacentral:tRNA from 1 species
ACCUUGGAGGGUUAGUGGUUAGGCCAUGGCACUCUCACUGCCAUGGCCUGGGUUCGAUUCCUGGCCAGGGAA